ensembl:lncRNA
GAAGAACUGACAGUACAAUUGUCACAAAAUAUGGCAGGAAUGUCAUAAAACUGCAGUCCAGAAAAUGUAAAUUUGACUCAGCAGGAGGGCAGUCAGCCAGAAAUACAUUGCAUUAAUUUACAGACAAGUUGCUAGUGACUGUGUUAAACUAAUCCCUGUCUCUAGUUGUGCAGUGAAUGGGCUGUAACGCGGACGCCAGUGGAGCAGCCCAGUGGGAGCGAUGAGUUGUGAUGGGUGAGGCACUGUGCAUGGCUCAAAUGAAGUGGCUGCUGAACCAGCUGAAAGCCCACCGUGGUUAACCUGUCCACUGCCUCAGAAAAACUGCAAUCCAAUACUCCAGCCUGGAAAUCACAGCCAGGAGACUGUACAGCACCUUCUCAAAGGAUGAAAUAGCCCAGACUCCUGGUAAGCUAUGAAUGAGAAGACCACAGUGAUACCAACAGAGACCUUUUCUGAACACCUUUAUUUUAUUGUGAGGCUUAAAUUAUGUUGUCUGAUUUGUACCUCAAAGUGAGGAUGUCAGCAAAAUCUGUGGAGUUGGGCUGCUCCUCAGAUGUUGGCUCUACAAGGAUGCUUUAACUCUCAGUUCCUAAUUGAAAGCAGAAGAUUUUAGGACGUGGAAAAAGUCCUUUAGGAUCUCACUGUCUUCUAAGCAUUCUCAGAAAUACAUGCUGACAGAUUUGAGAUUGCUGUGGCUACUGCUGCAUUUUCAAUACUGUCACUUUGGAUUUGGACUUACAGACUCAGAUCUCCUUGUGGAAACCAUCUCAAAGUUUCCUGUCAAGAAUUGAGUAGUGUUGAUUCUUUUUCCUUACAAAAGAAAGAUGGUUCCAUCACCCAUUUUCUUUAUUAAAAUAUAAUAAUUCAGGGCACUUUGAAAAUAAAAGAAAAUUCAGUGCAGUCAGCAUACUGCAAGAUCUUUGUAUGGCAACUUGAACAACCAGCAAAAUCUUCUACUGGUUACAAUCGAGAUUAUCUGCAUCUAUCCUGAAGAUGUCCUCUAAUCUUAGUAGUCUCUUUGUUUUUAUGUCACCACAACUGGUGCUUUAAAGGCCAAUAAAGUUACUGGGAGAUGGUUCAGUGACUAAAAGCACUGUAGUUAUCUUACAAAAUGAAUCUGUAAAACGAACCUGAACUUUUCCAAAUACCCUAUUAAAACUGCUCUAUAGAUUAAAGGCUGUGUGAACCACUAUAAGGGAACAGUUACAUCAUGGCCUGGACUGAUGACUGAGCACCAGGUGAGCAGGAUGACUGGCCCAGGAAGCACAAGUGGAAGCAAUUCACCUGUUCUUACCACAUGACUGAAAGGAGUGGACUGACCUGUGAGUCUCACCAGUCUCACCUCGGGAAGAUCGUGGAACAGAUCCUCCUAGAAGCUAUGCUAAGGCACAUGGAAGGCAGGGAACUGAUAUGGAAGAACCAGCAUGGCUUCACCAGGGGCAAAUCCUGUUUAACCAAUCUGGUGGUCUUUUGUGAUAGUAUCAUUGCAUGAAUGGACAAGGGAAGGGCCAUUGAUAUCAUCUAUUUUGACUUUAAUAAGGCCUUUGACACAGUACCUCACAACACCCUUCUCUCCAUGUUGGAAAGAUAUGGAUUUGAUGGUUGGACUGUUUGAUGGAUGAAGAACUGGCUGCAGAAUCGAGUCCAGAGCAUGUCCACAGAAGAGCUACAGAAAUGAUCCAUGGAAUGGAACACCUUCCCUACGAGGACAGGCUUAGAGAGCUGGGGCUGUUCAGCCUGGAGAAGAGAAGGCUGCAAGGUGACCUGAUAGCAGCCUUUCAGUUUAUAAAGCUGAUAUCAAGCUAACUGCCUUAGAUGUAAUGGACUCUGCCAGCGGAUCAGAAAAUAAAAACAACGGAAGAGAAGAAAGAUGCCAAAUGUUUUUGAGGUACUCUCCAGCAGUGAAAUGAAUGAUUUUAGUCAAAUGUGCAUUGUGGAUGCUGGAUGGAUACG